GACGAACGCUGGCGGCGUGCUUAACACAUGCAAGUCGAACGGAAAGGCCCUGCUUUUGUCGGGUGCUCGAGUGGCGAACGGGUGAGUAACACGUGAGUAACCUGCCCUUGACUUUGGGAUAACUUCAGGAAACUGGGGCUAAUACCGGAUAGGAGCUCCUGCUGCAUGGUGGGGGUUGGAAAGUUUCGGCGGUUGGGGAUGGACUCGCGGCUUAUCAGCUUGUUGGUGGGGUAGUGGCUUACCAAGGCUUUGACGGGUAGCCGGCCUGAGAGGGUGACCGGCCACAUUGGGACUGAGAUAGGGCCCAGACUGCUACGGGGGGCAGUGGUGGGGAAUCUUGCACAAUGGGCGGAAGCCUGAUGCAGCAGCGCCGCGUGCGUGAUGACGGCCUGCGGGGUGUAAACCGCUUUCGCCUGUGACGAAGCGUGAGUGACGGUAAUGGGUAAAGAAGCACCGGCUAACUACGUG
rnacentral:rRNA from 1 species